rnacentral:rRNA from 1 species
UGGGGAAUUUUGGACAAUGGGCGCAAGCCUGAUCCAGCCAUGCCGCGUGUCUGAAGAAGGCCUUCGGGUUGUAAAGGACUUUUGUCAGGGAGGAAAUCCCUAGCGCUAAUAUCGCUGGGGGAUGACAGUACCUGAAGAAUAAGCACCGGCUAACUACGUGCCAGCAGCCGCGGUAAUACGUAGGGUGCAAGCGUUAAUCGGAAUUACUGGGCGUAAAGCGUGCGCAGGCGGUUGUGUAAGUCUGAUGUGAAAGCCCCGGGCUUAACCUGGGAACUGCAUUGGAGACUGCACAGCUAGAGUGCGUCAGAGGGGGGUAGAAUUCCGCGUGUAGCAGUGAAAUGCGUAGAGAUGCGGAGGAAUACCGAUGGCGAAGGCAGCCCCCUGGGAUGACACUGACGCU